rnacentral:rRNA from 1 species
CGGUGGAGCAUGUGGUUUAAUUCGAUGAUACGCGAGGAACCUUACCUGGGCUCAAAUAGUAUGUUGACGUAUUCUGAAAGGGAUACUUCUUCGGACAAUAUACAAGGUGCUGCAUGGUUGUCGUCAGCUCGUGCCGUGAGGUGUCGGGUUAAGUCCCAUAACGAGCGCAACCCUCAUCAUUAGUUACCAUCAGGUAAGGCUGGGGACUCUAAUGGGACUGCCAUCGUAAGAUGUGAGGAAGGUGGGGAUGACGUCAAAUCAGCACGGCCCUUACGUCCGGGGCGACACACGUGUUACAAUGGGUGGUACAAAGGGCAGCUACCUGGCGACAGGAUGCUAAUCUCCAAAACCACUCUCAGUUCGGAUCGGAGUCUGCAACUCGACUCCGUGAAGCUGGAUUCGCUAGUAAUCGCGCAUCAGCCACGGCGCGGUGAAUACGUUCCCGGGCCUU